rnacentral:rRNA from 1 species
UACGGAGGGGGCGAGCGUUAUUCGGAAUCAUUGGGCGUAAAGGGCGCUUAGGCGGCCGGGCAAGUCAGGGGUGAAAUCCCUCGGCUCAACCGAGGAAUUGCCUCUGAAACUGCCCUGGAUACUGGGUGACUGGAGGACGGCAGAGGAAAGUGGAAUUCCCAGUGUAGCGGUGAAAUGCGUAGAUAUUGGGAGGAACACCAGUGGCGAAAGAGACUUUCUGGGCCGUUCUUGACGGUGAGGUACGAAAGCCAGGGGAGCAAACGGG